UCUUCCUGUAACCCUAAAAAUAGCCCAUCUUCUUCUUUUCUUCUUCCUUCUUCUCUUCUAAACUAGCCGCCACCAUCGCCCAAUCUUAUUUAACCAUUGUAAAGAUCCGAAACAUACAUAUAUUAGUUUCUCGGUUAGAUUUGGUUCAUUUAUAUGUUAUCAAGCUAGCCGCCACCAUGUCCAAAUCUUGUUUAACCCGUCGGCAUGUCAUUUAAAUCAGUAUUUUUGUAUGCAAUCACUAAUCAAGAAAAAAAAAUAAGAAAAAUAAGAAUACUCUCGGGGCUAAGGAGACUGUACGUGGAAUUUCUUUUGAGAUAGAAGAAUAUAAUUGAGUCCCUAAUUGUCCAAGAGUCGAAAGAACUGGUGAUGGCAGAUCCAGAGAAACAAAGAUGAGGAUUGAAUAAAAUUUGGUUGCAAAAGCUAAUUGUUGAAAGAAAUUUAGCCGUAAAAUCUAUAAAAAUUUGUUUCAAUUUUUAGUUAAAUUGGAAUAUAUUAUUCAAGUUUAAGAUCGAUGUUAUUUUAUUUUAUUUUUUUCAUAACAAGGUGAUUUUUUUGUCUAUGAAGAUUACUGUUUGAUCAUUUUUACUCAUUUUUCAACUUA